CAUUUUAAUGUGUAUUUGACUAAACUUUGCCAUAUGAUAUAUCCUGAUUUUUUUAAAUGAUGGGUUUUGAAUCAUUUCUUUCUUGAUGGAAUUUGAUUAUUUAUAAAGUGUUAAAGAGUUUAGUCCAUACACUCACUUUCCUUGAAAAGUGUUUUGCACUACCAAGAAUGUUGCCUCAAGUUUUUAUCAUGUGCUUCUUUUUCAGAUAGUUGACUGGUUUUCUGAACAAGGAUGGUGUUUUUGUUUCAGUUAGCUAACUAACUUAGGACCAUGAAUGCUGCAGUUAUGGUGUUUCUGGUUAGAGCAAAAUGCUUGGACAUUUAAAGGGAAUAUGCUGACCUUAGACCUGCUAUGGACAUAUAGUUUUGUGGGAUCUUUUUAGUGCCCAAAAUAAGGAAAUUCCAGUGUAUCUUAUCAUGUAAUGUAUAUAUCAAAGACAACCUAUGUACUCAGUUGUAUGUCCUGACCAUGGCUUAUUACUGUAUGUGUAGUCUUCCAUGUCUUGAGACCGUAAUUUAAAUAUUUAGGAUGCACUUAGGGCUUUAUGGAAUGCUGCAUUUCCUGAAGAAAAACUCCAUGGCUUGAUAUCCGACCAGUGGAAGGAAAUGGGUUGGCAAGGCAAGGAUCCGUCAACAGAUUUUAGGGGUGGUGGUUUUAUAUCAUUGGAGAACUUUCUGUUCUUUUCUAGGAAUUUCCCGGAAUUGAAGAGAAGUAGAAAUUAGCAUCAGCAAGAAGUAGCAUGUUGAAUUGAAGGAGAUGGAACAAGCAUCAGAAGAAGGAAUUGAAGGAGGAUUCGAAAUUAGCAUGAGCAAGAAGUAGCAUGUGGAAUUGAAGGAGAUGGAAGUAGCAUCACAAGAAGAAAUUGAGCCGUUUUCGUUUGAGAGAAUGGAAAAAAUGAAGAAAUGUGAGCCAAAUAUAUAUUUGUACUCAUUUAUCUUUAUGUAAAAAACACAAUUAAUUGAUCAUUUUUUCCCUUAUUUUGUAUUAAAAUCCCAAUAUCUGUACUUUGGAGCAUUUUUUUCCAGCUCCCACAAACGGUUGCUUGAUUUUAAAUAAAAAUGUAUGCUUCAUGAAA